rnacentral:tRNA from 1 species
GGUUCCAUAGUGUAGCGGUUAGCAUGUCUGCUUUAUACACAGAAGAUCCUGGGUUCAUGCCCCAGCGGAGCCA